rnacentral:rRNA from 1 species
UGCAAGUCGAACGGUGAACACGGAGCUUGCUCUGUGGGAUCAGUGGCGAACGGGUGAGUAACACGUGAGCAACCUGCCCCUGACUCUGGGAUAAGCGCUGGAAACGGCGUCUAAUACUGGAUAUGUGACGUGACCGCAUGGUCUGCGUCUGGAAAGAAUUUCGGUUGGGGAUGGGCUCGCGGCCUAUCAGCUUGUUGGUGAGGUAAUGGCUCACCAAGGCGUCGACGGGUAGCCGGCCUGAGAGGGUGACCGGCCACACUGGGACUGAGACACGGCCCAGACUCCUACGGGAGGCAGCAGUGGGGAAUAUUGCACAAUGGGCGCAAGCCUGAUGCAGCAACGCCGCGUGAGGGAUGACGGCCUUCGGGUUGUAAACCUCUUUUAGCAGGGAAGAAGCGAAAGUGACGGUACCUGCAGAAAAAGCGCCGGCUAACUACGUGCCAGCAGCCGCGGUAAUACGUAGGGCGCAAGCGUUAUCCGGAAUUAUUGGGCGUAAAGAGCUCGUAGGCGGUUUGUCGCGUCUGCUGUGAAAUCCGGAGGCUCAACCUCCGGCCUGCAGUGGGUACGGGCAGACUAGAGUGCGGUAGGGGAGAUUGGAAUUCCUGGUGUAGCGGUGGAAUGCGCAGAUAUCAGGAGGAACACCGAUGGCGAAGGCAGAUCUCUGGGCCGUAACUGACGCUGAGGAGCGAAAGGGUGGGGAGCAAACAGGCUUAGAUACCCUGGUAGUCCACCCCGUAAACGUUGGGAACUAGUUGUGGGGUCCAUUCCACGGAUUCCGUGACGCAGCUAACGCAUUAAGUUCCCCGCCUGGGGAGUACGGCCGCAAGGCUAAAACUCAAAGGAAUUGACGGGGACCCGCACAAGCGGCGGAGCAUGCGGAUUAAUUCGAUGCAACGCGAAGAACCUUACCAAGGCUUGACAUAUACGA